rnacentral:lncRNA from 1 species
CCAGUCUCUGGGCGAAAAACAGCAGGGGUUUUUGUGAGUGGUCCUUCUGAGAACAAUGACACUGAGGCGUGCGUGCACGAGACGACUCCAUUUUUUUCUUUCAGUGUUUGAAUGAACUCAACGUCGCGCGUUUGGAAUAUUAUCGUUAUUUUACGCGAAAAAUAGCAUAAACAUUUAUUUUAAACAGCGUUUGACAUGCUUCGAAGUACGGUAAUGGAAUAUUUGGCAUUUUUUUGUCACGAAAUGCGCCUCACCCUUCGGAUAGUGACUUGAACGCACGAACAAAACGGAGCUAUUUGGAUAUAACUAUGGAUUAUUUCGAACCAAAACAACAUUUGUUGUUGAAGUAGAAGUCCUGGGAGUGCAUUCUGACGAAGAACAGCAAAGUUGGUGGUGGAAGGCACAUAUAAUUGUUGCGAACACCAUCAUACAAAAGAAGAAGAUUAAGUUAGCCCGGGGCACACUCCUACACUCAGGCAUAAUUUACAAACAAUUGAAACAUCCUGUCGGGCUGUAUCACCGCCUGAUACGGCAACUGCACCACCCACAACCGCAAGGCUCUCCAGAGGGUGUUGCCGUCUCCCCAAUGCAUUACCGGGGGCAAACUACUCACCCUCCAGGACACCUACAGCACCCAAUGUCACAGGAAGGCCAAAAAGAUAAUCAAGGACAUCAACCACCCAAGACACUGCCUGUUCACCCCGCUAUCAUGCACAAGGUUCCCUUGGAGAGUUCAUCAAUGAGCUUGAUGCCUUGAUAAGUUCCUUUCCUGAGGAUGGCUCACCUCUCACAGUUCUGGGUGACUUUAACCUCCCCACGUCUACCUUCGACUCAUUCCUCUCUGCCUCCUUCUUUCCACUCCUCUCCUCUUUCGACCUCACCCUCUCACCUUCCCCC